GUUUAUCUUCAGGGCAGGGUGAAAAUCCCGACCGGCGGUAAAAGUCCGCGACCCUUGUUUAAGGUUGAUUCGGUGCAAUUCCGAAACCGACAGUGAUAGUCUGGAUGGAAGAAGAUAGUA
rfam:Lactobacillus agilis DSM 20509 NODE_65, whole genome shotgun sequence.